GAUGAAGACGUAGCGAAAUGCGAUAAGUAGUGUGAAUUGCAGAAUUCAGUGAAUCAUCGAAUCUUUGAACGCACAUUGCGCCCCUUGGUAUUCCAUGGGGCAUGCCUGUUCGAGCGUCAUUUGUACCUUCAAGCUCUGCUUGGUGUUGGGUGUUUGUCUCGCCUCUGCGUGUAGACUCGCCUUAAAACAAUUGGCAGCCGGCGUAUUGAUUUCGGAGCGCAGUACAUCUCGCGCUUUGCACUCAUAACGACGACGUCCAAAAGUACAUUUUUACACUCUUGACCUCGGAUCAGGUAGGGAUACCCGCUGAACUUAAGCAUAUCAAUAAGCGGAGGA
rnacentral:misc_RNA from 1 species